rnacentral:rRNA from 1 species
CAGAUGGGAGCUUGCUCCCUGAUGUUAGCGGCGGACGGGUGAGUAACACGUGGGUAACCUGCCUGUAAGACUGGGAUAACUCCGGGAAACCGGGGCUAAUACCGGAUGCUUGUUUGAACCGCAUGGUUCAUACAUAAAAGGUGGCUUCGGCUACCACUUACAGAUGGACCCGCGGCGCAUUAGCUAGUUGGUGAGGUAACGGCUCACCAAGGCGACGAUGCGUAGCCGACCUGAGAGGGUGAUCGGCCACACUGGGACUGAGACACGGCCCAGACUCCUACGGGAGGCAGCAGUAGGGAAUCUUCCGCAAUGGACGAAAGUCUGACGGAGCAACGCCGCGUGAGUGAUGAAGGUUUUCGGAUCGUAAAGCUCUGUUGUUAGGGAAGAACAAGUGCCGUUCAAAUAGGGCGGCACCUUGACGGUACCUAACCAGAAAGCCACGGCUAACUACGUGCCAGCAGCCGCGGUAAUACGUAGGUGGCAAGCGUUGUCCGGAAUUAUUGGGCGUAAAGGGCUCGCAGGCGGUUUCUUAAGUCUGAUGUGAAAGCCCCCGGCUCAACCGGGGAGGGUCAUUGGAAACUGGGGAACUUGAGUGCAGAAGAGGAGAGUGGAAUUCCACGUGUAGCGGUGAAAUGCGUAGAGAUGUGGAGGAACACCAGUGGCGAAGGCGACUCUCUGGUCUGUAACUGACGCUGAGGAGCGAAAGCGUGGGGAGCGAACAGGAUUAGAUACCCUGGUAGUCCACGCCGUAAACGAUGAGUGCUAAGUGUUAGGGGGUUUCCGCCCCUUAGUGCUGCAGCUAACGCA